CAUAUCACACUGAAACACUGAGUCUCUUAAGAUCACCAAAGUUAAGAAACAUUGAGCCUGGCCUGUACAGAGAUGGGCGACCACUUGGGAAUAACUAGGUGCUGUAA